rnacentral:rRNA from 1 species
AUUGAACGCUGGCGGCAGGCCUAACACAUGCAAGUCGAGCGGAGCGGCGGACGGGUGAGUAAUGCCUAGAAAUCUGCCUGGUAGUGGGGGAUAACGUCCGGAAACGGACGCUAAUACCGCAUACUAUCAGAUGAGCCUAGGUCGGAUUAGCGAGUUGGUGGGGUAAAGGCCUACCAAGGCGAAGAUCCGUAACUGGUCUGAUAGGAUGAUCAGUCACACUGGAAAUGAGCCACGGUCCAGACUCCUACGGGAGGCAGCAGUGGGGAAUAUUGUACAAUGGGCGAAAGCCUGAUCCAGCCAUGCCGCGUGUGUGAAGAAGGUCUUCGGAUUGGAAAGCACUUUAAGUUGGGAGGCGUUACCAACAGAAUAAGCACCGGCUAACUCCGUGCCAGCAGCCGCGGUAAUAC